rnacentral:rRNA from 1 species
ACGGGAGGCAGCAGUGAGGAAUAUUGGUCAAUGGGCGGAAGCCUGAACCAGCCAUGUCGCGUGCAGGACUACGGCCCUACGGGUCUUAAACUGCUUUUGCAAGGGGAUAAAGUGGGGCACGCGUGCCCCUUUGCAGGUACCUUGCGAAUAAGGAUCGGCUAACUCCGUGCCAGCAGCCGCGGUAAUACGGAGGAUCCGAGCGUUAUCCGGAUUUAUUGGGUUUAAAGGGUGCGUAGGCGGGCUGUUAAGUCAGCGGUGAAACCCCCGGGCUCAACCCGGGGACUGCCAUUGAAACUGGCGGCCUUGAGUACGUUGGGAGUGCGCGGAAUGUGUGGUGUAGCGGUGAAAUGCAUAGAUAUGUCACAGAACACCGAUUGCGAAGGCAGCCGGCCAAUCCGCAACUGACGCUCAUGCACGAAAGCGUGGGGAUCGAACAGGAUUAGAUACCCUGGUA